ensembl:lncRNA
AGCAAGGGCCAGAAACUGAAGUGAAUUUCUCAGGGUUUACUGGGAGUUGGGAAAAAAACCUGAACUGCUGACCUGGGCAAAUUCUCACAGAUGAGAGAUUUAUGAAGUCCAGCCUUCCUGAAGGGAGAUUCCAGCAUGCAACUGGUGCUAUGGAGAUGGGUAGUAUAUAAUAGUUUCAUCAAGACACCAAAGAAAUUGGUUGCAC